GGCUUCAUGGUCUAGUGGUACGAUUCGUGCUUUGGGUGCACGAGGUCCCGGGUUCGAUCCCCGGUGGAGCCC
rnacentral:tRNA from 2 species